GCCAGUGUGGUGUAGUGGUUUAGCACUGGACUAGGACUCUGGAGACUAGGCUUCGAAUCCCUGGUCAGCUA